CCAUAGCAUGUACUUCUCUAGUUCCAGCUCCUUGGGUGGUUCAGGGAGGAGAAUUUCUUGAAUUCAGAAGUUCUGGACUGUAGUGUACUGUACCUGUUGGGUGUCUACACUAAGUUUGAUAUUAAUAUAUGAUGAUCUCCACAGAACUGGGGGCUACCAAAUUGCAUUAGGGGUAGUGAAUGGGCCCAGGUCAGAAACAGAGCAAGUCAGAACACCCAUGCUGAUUAAUAGUGGGAUUGCUCCCGUGAGUAGCCACUGUACUUCAGCCUGGGCAGCGUAGCAAGACUCUGUC
ensembl:misc_RNA Metazoa_SRP Metazoan signal recognition particle RNA